rnacentral:lncRNA from 1 species
CGAAGUGCUUGAGGAAUCUACUCCAACUACUUUGGAAGCAAAGGCUUUGGCGCAAGCUAAGGGCGUUGAAAAGGAGCAGCCCAUAGAUAAAAAGGAGAUUGGGUUUAUGCAGAAGUCAUUUCUUGCAAGGCCUUGUGAUUGGAUGUGGGCCGUGAAGGAGGAGAGGCUGAUCAUUGUGUUGCGGUUCAAGGUUCAAGAGAAGUCAGAGUUAGAGCCGAAGAAGAAGAAUAAUGCACAAGGGAGAAAAGCUAUGGUCCAACAGUCAAUUAAUGCAAGGAACGAAAAUUUGAUUUUUGAUCCCGGCAUUUGGAUUGACGACUUGGAUUUGAGGACAAAUCCCUUUCAAGAGGAGGGGAAUGAUGCAUGCCAUGGAGGCCCAAGUUACGUUGCAUAUGUGGGCUGAUUUAAUAGAGUCUUUUAUUUUGUUUUAUCUUAUAAUUUUCGUGGGUUAUGUUAGGGUGGCUGAAAUUAGGCCUUAGUUGAGUCAAUUUUGAGUUUUAU